CAAUAGCGUAUAUUAAAGUUGUUGCAGUUAAAAAGCUCGUAGUUGGAUUUGUGGCGUACGGUGGGUUCCGGGCACUUGUUGUCUGAGUAACUUGCUGUUGCCAUCCUUGGGUGGAACCUGUGUGGCAUUAGGUUGUCGUGCAGGGGAUGCCCAUCAUUUACUGUGAAAAAAUUAGAGUGUUCAAAGCAGGCUUAUGCCGUUGAAUAUAUUAGCAUGGAAUAAUGAGAUAGGACUUUUUUGCUAUUUUGUUGGUUUGCGCAAAGAGGUAAUGAUUAAUAGGGACAGUUGGGGGUAUUCGUAUUCCAUUGUCAGAGGUGAAAUUCUUGGAUUUUUGGAAGACGAACUACUGCGAAAGCAUUUACCAAGGAUGUUUCCAUUAA
rnacentral:rRNA from 1 species